rnacentral:antisense_RNA from 1 species
AUAUCUCUAUAAUCUCCAUAUGUAAAGUACAUGGAUCGCAAAAAUUCUUCAGGGAUAGUGCCAUUAUCUAAUUGUUUAGCGUCAGCACCAUUCUUAAUCUUA